rnacentral:lncRNA from 1 species
GGAUUAGGAUUUAGAUUAGGAUUUGAAUUUGGUUUAGGAUUUGAUUAGGAAUUGGUUUAAGGUUUAGGAUUUGAUUAAAGUUUGAUUAGGAUUUGAUUUAGGAUUUAGGAUUUAUCUAGGAUUUGAUUAAGAUUGGAUUAGGAUUAGGAGUUGGUUAGAAUUUAAGGUUUUAUUAGAUUUUUGUUAAGGUUUGACUAAGUUUUUUUUAAUAUUCUUUUAUAAUUCUUUAAGAUUUUCUUGUGUUUCUUUUAUAACUUCAAUAAAAUUUAAUUGAGCUUGCUUAAUGUUUGAUUAUGAUUGUUAAUGUUUAAUUGUAAAUUGUCUAUAAUUCUAUUGGAUUGUUAGGACCUUUUGUUGUAAUUUUCUUUUACCUUCCACAGCUAGGUGCUCGGUGCAUUUUCAAGCAAGACUUCACGUAAUAUGAUAACAUUUCAACCUCUUACUGAGCAAGAAAAGACUCGUCGUCGUCAAGAAGGAUUGUGCUUAUAUUAUGGAGAACCUAAGCACACUGCUCAAGAUUACCCAAAGAAGUGACACAACCAUAAAAUAAAGAGUACAGCUAUCAAAGAAGAUAGUAUGUUAGAAAAUGAGUUUGUCAAGCAACAAUAAGGACUGUACGGCUUGAAUCUUGUGCAACACCUAAGAAAGGUCUUAUUUUCUUCUUA